AUUGAACGCUAGCGGGAUGCUUUACACAUGCAAGUCGAACGAGUGGCGGACGGGUGAGUAAUAGAUAGGAACGUGACCAGUAGAGGGGGAUAAGUACUCGCAAGAGUGGCUGAUACCGCAUACUGCUGGAGCGGCCGAAAUCGGAUUAGCUAUGUGGUGGGGUAAAGGCUAACCAAGGCAACGAUCCGUAGCUAGUUUGAGAGGACGACCAGCCACACUGGGACUGAGACACGGCCCAGACUCCUACGGGAGGCAGCAGUGGGGAAUUUUGGACAAUGGGGGAAACCCUGAUCCAGCCAUCCCGCGUGUAUGAGAAGGCCUUCGGGUUGUAAAGUACUUUUGGCAGAGAAGCGGUAUCUGCAGAAUAAGCACCGGCUAACUACGUGCCAGCAGCCGCGGUAAUAC
rnacentral:rRNA from 1 species